rnacentral:rRNA from 1 species
GGCCCUACGGGGUGCAGCAGGCGCGAAAACUUUACAAUGCUGGGAACAGCGAUAAGGGAACCUCGAGUGCCAGGUUACAAAUCUGGCUGUCGUGAUGCCUAAAAAGCAUUAUAUAGCAAGGGCCGGGCAAGACCGGUGCCAGCCGCCGCGGUAACACCGGCGGCUCGAGUGGUAACCGUUAUUAUUGGGUCUAAAGGGUCUGUAGCCGGCCGGAUAAGUCUCUUGGGAAAUCUGGCAGCUCAACUGUCAGGCUUUCAGGGGAUACUGUCUGGCUCGAGGCCGGGAGAGGUGAGAGGUACUUCAGGGGUAGGGGUGAAAUCUUGUAAUCCUUGAAGGACCACCAGUGGCGAAGGCGUCUCACCAGAACGGACCUGACGGCAAGGGACGAAAGCUAGGGGCACGAACCGGAUUAGAUACCCGGGUAGUCCUAGCCGUAAACGAUACUCGCUAGGUGUCGGCCACGGUGCGACCGUUGUCGGUGCCGUAGGGAAGCCGUGAAGCGAGCCACCUGGGAAGUACGGCCGCAAGGCUGAAACUUAAAGGAAUUGGCGGGGGAGCACCACAACGGGUGGAGCUUGCGGUUUAAUUGGAUUCAACGCCGGAAAUCUUA